rnacentral:rRNA from 1 species
GAUGAACGCUAGCUACAGGCUUAACACAUGCAAGUCGAGGGGAAACGACAUCGAAAGCUUGCUUUUGGUGGGCGUCGACCGGCGCACGGGUGAGUAACGCGUAUCCAACCUGCCCACCACUUGGGGAUAACCUUGCGAAAGUAAGACUAAUACCCAAUGAUAUCCCACGAAGGCAUCCGAAUGGGAUUAAAGAUUUAUCGGUGAUGGAUGGGGAUGCGUCUGAUUAGCUUGUUGGCGGGGUAACGGCCCACCAAGGCAACGAUCAGUAGGGGUUCUGAGAGGAAGGUCCCCCACAUUGGAACUGAGACACGGUCCAAACUCCUACGGGAGGCAGCAGUGAGGAAUAUUGGUCAAUGGGCGAGAGCCUGAACCAGCCAAGUAGCGUGCAGGACGACGGCCCUAUGGGUUGUAAACUGCUUUUAUGCGGGGAUAAAGUGGGCCACGCGUGGCCUUUUGCAGGUACCGCAUGAAUAAGGACCGGCUAAUUCCGUG